AAAGACUCAGCUGUGGAGGAGCUCCCAGGUACAGGAAGAACUCAUGUUGUGAUGUAUGCUGUCAUUGGCAUUGCUGUACUUGGCUUUGUUAUCAUGACAGUCAUUUACAAGUACAGACAUCUAAGGGAAUCUGUUGGUGCGGUUUAACAAACAAAUCGACUCUUUGUAGGACAGAGAAUCUACAUACACUUUAGCCAGUGCUGACAGUUUGGUGCGUUUGGAUCUUUUGAUCCUUCAGAAAUAAGUUUACUCAUUUCUGGUAUUUCUGCAACAGAUGAUAAAAUCAACAAGGGAGUGGCACAUAAUCAGUUGGCCUCGGGGGAAGUGAGUAAUGUGACAGUUUGGAGCCAUCUAUGUUUCCCACAACAGACAAGUUAUACCUUGUAGCUAUACCCUAGUGAAAAAUAAAUAUACUUAAAUGUAUACUAAAUACAGUUUUAUAUGCUCAAUAAAAAUACUCUGCCAUUGUACUUGUGGUAUACAAAACAUGUAUACUCAAAUUCUGCUACAUUGGAACAAAAAUUUUUGUACUGAAUGCACUUCAAUUGUGCAAAAGUAGUUCUGAAGUCCAACUAAAGAUACAAUGAAGUAUAUUUGAUUGUGGAACUAUAAUAUGUAUGGUUUAGGAAU